UACGUAGGGUGCGAGCGUUGUCCGGAAUUACUGGGCGUAAAGAGCUCGUAGGUGGUUUGUCGCGUCGGCCGUGAAAACCUGCAGCUUAACUGUGGGCGUGCGGUCGAUACGGGCAUCACUGGAGUUCGGCAGGGGAGACUGGAAUUCCUGGUGUAGCGGUGAAAUGCGCAGAUAUCAGGAGGAACACCGGUGGCGAAGGCGGGUCUCUGGGCCGAUACUGACGCUGAGGAGCGAAAGCGUGGGGAGCGAACAGG
rnacentral:rRNA from 1 species